rnacentral:lncRNA from 1 species
CUUUCAUUUAUUAUAUAUAUUUAAUUAUAAGUAAUGAGGGAUAAGGGUUCAACAUCUGUUCGUGGUUUACAACGCUGGAUAAAUGGUGGAUCGUGGUGUCUCCAUAAACACGUCUGUGCGUCCUAUCUAACACUUCCAUCGUGUAAUAUCAAAUCAAUGAAAGAUACAAGUUAAUUUUUGUGCGAAAUAUACCAGUUAGUGCCUAUAAUUCAACCGAUAUUCAUACAAUAUUGUUGCUAUAAGCUAUUAAAAAGGAAAUUGUGUUUGAAAAUGUCUGUGAAUCUAUGUGUAACCAGGAUUAAUAUCACGGUAAAAUUCUAUGGUGGAAAUUCACUCAAUUGGUAUGACUGAUAUUUAUAUAUCGCAAGAAAACUAACCAACAGUUAGGUGUUGGAGGAGGUAAUUACCACAGAUAGAUUUUAUGAGGUGUUACCCAGCCUACUCCAUGCAGCAUGUCCUAUUUAGAAUUGAACUGUAUCCAAGUUUUUGAAAAUUAAUUGCUUUGUACAACA